rnacentral:piRNA from 1 species
UGGAGUGAUGGGAUUCUGAGCUG